CGGCGGCGCGGGGAGCGCGGCGAGUGCUGCAUCUCCGCUCGUUACCUGCGGGGCGGCUGGUGCCAUGGAUUUGCCAUACCGGGGAUCGGCGUCGCCUUCGCGUGCUGCCUGGCCAGGACUGGCGACCGUCUCUCUGAGAGGGGCCACCCAUCUAUGAGGCGGAGAGAAGAGAUUUCUCUUUAUUUAUUUAUUUAUUUUGCAUAGCAGCCCCUCUUCCGCAGAUUGCAGAAUUAACUGUGUACUUUGGGUCCGGACUUAAAGAAGGAAAAAAAAAAAAAAGUGCAGAACUGAGACUUGGAACUAGCUGUAUGUCGGGAACCUAUGAUUUUUUUUUCUUUUUUUUUCUCCUUUUAAUAUGAGAGCUCUCUGACUGUUUCACACAUAGCACUGAGGGAAGGUGGUUAAAAACACUCAGCAAAGCAAGAGACAGACGCGCCUCUAUGCCAGUGAGUGGAUAACAGCCUUGUUUUCCUGAUCCUCAGUCUCCCGGAGGAAGAGCCAUGGGUUGCCUGUUGAUUUCCUCCCGACUGGAGAGAAAAGCAAACUGGAAUUAAACUGCAGCGAGAAAAGUGCAGCUCCUGAGCCACGCAACACGCGCGUAGACACACAGCGAGAAAGGAUGUGGUGGUGGCGGCGGCUACUGGCCUGUCUUAAAGAAACCCAAGUGUGCAUCUGAUUGAGCACAGCCUGUGAUUUCUUUCAAAAUAUAUAUUUGCUCUCCUAAUGAUGACGAUCGGCUGGUGGGUUUCUUAAUUCUCCACGCACACAUGCAUGCAAGAGUGGGAGGCUGGUACUAGAGGGAGAGAAAGGA